rnacentral:rRNA from 1 species
AGUGAACGCUGGCGGUAGGCCUAACACAUGCAAGUCGAACGGCAGCACAGUAAGAGCUUGCUCUUACGGGUGGCGAGUGGCGGACGGGUGAGGAAUACAUCGGAAUCUACUUUUUCGUGGGGGAUAACGUAGGGAAACUUACGCUAAUACCGCAUACGACCUACGGGUGAAAGCAGGGGAUCUUCGGACCUUGCGCGAUUGAAUGAGCCGAUGUCGGAUUAGCUAGUUGGCGGGGUAAAGGCCCACCAAGGCGACGAUCCGUAGCUGGUCUGAGAGGAUGGUGAGCCACACUGGAACUGAGAGACGGUCCAGACUCCUACGGGAGGCAGCAGUGGGGAAGAUUGGACAAUGGGCGCAAGCCUGAUCCAGCCAUACCGCGUGGGUGAAGAAGGCCUUCGGGUUGUAAAGCCCUUUUGUUGGGAAAGAAAAGCAGCAGGUUAAUACCCCGCUGUUCUGACGGUACCCAAAGAAUAAGCACCGGCUAACUUCGU